UCUACAUAUACAUCUAAGAGCUGCCAUGUGAGUUAUAAGAAGAGAAUAUGUGUUGUCAACCUGUCGUAGCUUGCGUGCUACUUGAUUGUGUUGCUUUCUUUCUUCUAUAGUUCGGACCCGUGGAUGAACAAAGGCUUAGAAAAAAUUAAUAUGGAAAUAGUAGGCAAUCGUAAUGGUUGCUUUAUGAUAAAGUAGUUUCCUAGGAUUAUCUUUAAUCCAUAUAAGAGUGUGUGCUUUCGAGCUUGUUUGUCACUUGCAGAACUGGAAGGGGAUGAACUAUAUUGAGCCCACAGAUGAACUUGUAGCAAGAACAUUGAUACUAAGCUGGAGUUUUCAAUGGGAUGUCAAACUGAUGGGUAGGUUAAAACUAUCCAGUAGUUGAUGUUUGACGUUAAAGGAAUCGGCGU
rnacentral:lncRNA from 1 species